AGCCCUGUUUGUCGACGCCGGAAGGUUCGCGAGGGCAUUGUGGCGUCAGACUUCGAGGGAGGCACAAGCAGCGGCAUUGACCCCGUCCGUUACUCUGAGAAAUGCACCCACGUCUGCUUUUGGCAAGUGCUAGCGUAUGCGCGUGGGCGUGGGCGUACCUGGCCCUCGAGGCGACUGGCCAGGUGUACAUGGUGAGCCGGGAGAUGGACUGUGUGCCGUCGUAUGAGAACAGUCUUCUACAGCCGACGAGGUCGAAGAUCUUCUGCUCGGCAUUGUGUCUCUCGUUCCAAUGCUUGGCCUUCGCGUUCUCAGACGGCGAGUGCGACAUCCGGGGUGUCGGCUUCGAACUCCCCGCCGAGACGCGAGUGUACACGAAGUUCUCCCUCCCGCUCCUGUCUCCCUGCAGAU